rnacentral:misc_RNA from 1 species
UGCUGGAGCAUCUAGGAUCAUUGGUGUUGAUUUGAACCCAGCUCGAUUUGAAGAAGCAAAGAAAUUUGGUUGCAAUGAAUUUGUGAAUCCAAAGGACCACAACAAGCCAGUUCAGGAGGUGAUUGCUGAGAUGACGAAUGGAGGAGUCGACCGCAGCGUCGAAUGCACUGGAAGCAUCCAAGCAAUGAUCUCAGCAUUCGAAUGCGUUCACGAUGGGUGGGGUGUUGCUGUACUUGUGGGAGUUCCAAACAAAGAUGAUGCAUUCAAAACUCAUCCUAUGAAUCUCCUUAACGAAAGAACUCUAAAGGGUACCUUCUUCGGCAACUAUAAACCUCGAUCCGACAUUCCCGGGGUCGUGGAGAAGUACUUGAAGAAGGAGCUCGAAUUGGAGAAGUUCAUUACACAUACAGUGCCAUUUUCUGAGAUCAACAAGGCGUUUGAUUACAUGCUGAAAGGGGAGUCGAUUCGAUGCAUUAUUAAGAUGGAAAACUGAAACAAUAUUUGUGGGCUGAGAAUAAGAUUAUGAAAGAAACUGAAGACUGCUCUGUUUCUUUUUCUUUUUAGUUGUUUUUAUGUUUUUGAGAGUGGAGUUCUUGGUGUAUUUUGCUGGGAGUUUCCGUGAUUUUGUUAAUCGUCUUUUGAGAUAUUGUAUCGCUGUUAUUAUUAUAAAAUAAAUGAAAAAGAAUUGUG